UGUAUAAUGGGUCAGCGACUUAUAUUCUGUAGCAAGGUUAACCGAAUAGGGGAGCCGAAGGGAAACCGAGUCUUAACUGGGCGUUAAGUUGCAGGGUAUAGACCCGAAACCCGGUGAUCUAGCCAUGGGCAGGUUGAAGGUUGGGUAACACUAACUGGAGGACCGAACCGACUAAUGUUGAAAAAUUAGCGGAUGACUUGUGGCUGGGGGUGAAAGGCCAAUCAAACCGGGAGAUAGCUGGUUCUCCCCGAAAGCUAUUUAGGUAGCGCCUCGUGAAUUCAUCUCCGGGGGUAGAGCACUGUUUCGGCAAGGGGGUCAUCCCGACUUACCAACCCGAUGCAAACUGCGAAUACCGGAGAAUGUUAUCACGGGAGACACACGGCGGGUGCUAACGUCCGUCGUGAAGAGGGAAACAACCCAGACCGCCAGCUAAGGUCCCAAAGUCAUGGUUAAGUGGGAAACGAUGUGGGAAGGCCCAGACAGCCAGGAUGUUGGCUUAGAAGCAGCCAUCAUUUAAAGAAAGCGUAAUAGCUCACUGGUCGAGUCGGCCUGCGCGGAAGAUGUAACGGGGCUAAACCAUGCACCGAAGCUGCGGCAGCGACACUAUGUGUUGUUGGGUAGGGGAGCGUUCUGUAAGCCUGUGAAGGUGUGCUGUGAGGCAUGCUGGAGGUAUCAGAAGUGCGAAUGCUGACAUAAGUAA
rnacentral:rRNA from 1 species